GUGUCAGCAGCCGCGGUAAUACGUAGGGGGCAAGCGUUGUCCGGAUUUAUUGGGCGUAAAGAGCGUGUAGGCGGCCAGAUAGGUCCGUUGUGAAAACUGGAGGCUUAACCUCCAGCUGUCGAUGGAAACCAUCUGGCUAGAGUCCGGAAGAGGAGAGUGGAAUUCCUGGUGUAGCGGUGAAAUGCGCAGAUAUCAGGAAGAACACCCGUGGCGAAGGCGGCUCUCUGGGACGGUACUGACGCUGAGACGCGAAAGCGUGGGGAGCAAACAGGAUUAGAUACCCCGGUAGUCC
rnacentral:rRNA from 1 species